CCCUAGGAAUCUAAUACACUGCCCAUGUAAGUGAAUAUUAGCUAUUUGCUGAUAAGACAAGAAUUUCUGGUUAUAAUAAAUAUACUGGAAUAGAAUGUGGUUUCUUUUUUUUUGAGAUGGAGUCUCGCUCCAGUCACCAGGCUGGAAUGCAGUAGCGUGAUCUCGGCUCACUGUAACCUCUUCCUCCCAGGUUCAAGCAAUUCUCCUGCCUCAGCCUCCCGAGUAGCUGAGACUACAGGCGCCCGCAACCAUCCCCGACUAAUUUUUGUAUUUUUAGUUGAGACGGGGUUUCACCAUAUUGGCCAGGCUGGUCUUGAACUCCUGACCUUGUGAUCCAUCUGCCUCGGUCUCCCAAAGUGUUGGGAUUACAGGCGUGAGCCACAACACCCGGCCGAAUGUGGUUUCUUAGUGAGUCCUUUACUCAAGGCUGGAAUUAAACAAAGGAGAUGAAUCACGAGCUCUAUGAUAAUAGUCUAAUAGUCUAAUCUAGCCCUCUUAAGUGCAGAGAUGUUUUCCCUCUGAACACCCGUGUGUUUCAGCUCUGUUCCUCUUCCAAUGCCCUUCCACAGGGAACAAAUCCUUUCUUGACCACCAAUGGCUGCAUGACUUAUCCUGAGAAGAUCAUGGGGAUUUUGGAUGCCAGGUCAACCCUUACACUCAGCAAGGAAGUGGAAGGGCCUCAGUUUCAAACACUUUGUAAACACAGAGGUUAGGUCAUUUCCUCUCCAAUAAGCCAGAAGCUGAGCUGUCCCUGGCAGCAAACUGUGUGUCAAAUGCCUGGCGGGUUUCAGGUUUUACUAACUCCAGAGUGACGAAACAUCACCACCUCUAAUGCCAG
ensembl:lncRNA novel transcript